ACCAAUGAACAAAUACCGAGUCAACAAAGCUUGGUAAGUAAUAUUCAGCCAUCGAAGAAAAGAAAAACGAGCAGUAAGAAAGAAAACAUCACCUCAUUGGGAGGAGCUGAAAUCAAUAAUCUUAAUAGGGGAGAGUACAACCAUUUAUGGCACUUAGCUGAACUCCAAAGAGUAGGAAACAUAGGAAAUGCCACGAUGCAGUUCCCGGCACCACAAAUUUUAUCUUAUGGAAACAUUAGCAGCGUAUAUGGAACACCUUAUGUUCAUUCUGGGAAUAUUGCACCUGCACCAGGAGGACUCCCUGAACAUUUUGAAAGUUUCUCGACUGCAUUUGGAGUACCCCAUCCAUGGAGAAGUCCAUAUUUGGAGAGUUCUGCACCAACGUACCAGGAUACCAGGAAGCGGAGGAUUUAU